rnacentral:rRNA from 1 species
GAUGAACGCUGACAGAAUGCUUAACACAUGCAAGUCAACUUGAACUUCGGUUUGGGUGGCGGACGGGUGAGUAACGCGUAAAGAACUUGCCUCACAGAUAGGGACAACAUUUGGAAACGAAUGCUAAUACCUGAUAUUAUGAUUUUAGGGCAUCCUAGAAUUAUGAAAGCUAUAUGCGCUGUGAGAGAGCUUUGCGUCCCAUUAGCUAGUUGGAGAGGUAACGGCUCACCAAGGCGAUGAUGGGUAGCCGGCCUGAGAGGGUGAUCGGCCACAAGGGGACUGAGACACGGCCCUUACUCCUACGGGAGGCAGCAGUGGGGAAUAUUGGACAAUGGACCAAGAGUCUGAUCCAGCAAUUCUGUGUGCACGAUGAAGUUUUUCGGAAUGUAAAGUGCUUUCAGUUGGGAAGAAAAAAAUGACGGUACCAACAGAAGAAGUGACGGCUAAAUACGUGCCAGCAGCCGCGGUAAUACGUAUGUCACGAGCGUUAUCCGGAUUUAUUGGGCGUAAAGCGCGUCUAGGUGGUUAUGUAAGUCUGAUGUGAAAAUGCAGGGCUCAACUCUGUAUUGCGUUGGAAACUGUGUAACCAGAGUACUGGAGAGGUAAGCGGAACUACAAGUGUAGAGGUGAAAUUCGUAGAUAUUUGUAGGAAUGCCGAUGGGGAAGCCAGCUUACUGGACAGAUACUGACGCUGAAGCGCGAAAGCGUGGGUAGCAAACAGG